UACGUAGGGGGCAAGCGUUGUCCGGAUUUAUUGGGCGUAAAGAGCGUGUAGGCGGUUAGGUAGGUCCGUUGUGAAAACUCGAGGCUCAACCUCGAGACGCCGAUGGAAACCAUCUGACUAGAGUCCGGAAGAGGAGAGUGGAAUUCCUGGUGUAGCGGUGAAAUGCGCAGAUAUCAGGAAGAACACCCGUGGCGAAGGCGGCUCUCUGGAACGCAACUGACGCUGAGACGCGAAAGCGUGGGGAGCAAACAGG
rnacentral:rRNA from 1 species